UUUUCCUACGGGACGCAGCAGUGAGGAAUAUUGGUCAAUGGCCGAGAGGCUGAACCAGCCAAGUCGCGUGAGGGAAGACGGCCCUACGGGUUGUAAACCUCUUUUGUCGGGGAGCAAAGCGAACCACGUGUGGUUCAUUGAGAGUACCCGAAGAAAAAGCAUCGGCUAACUCCGUGCCAGCAGCCGCGGUAAUACGGAGGAUGCGAGCGUUCUCCGGAUUUAUUGGGUUUAAAGGGUGCGCAUGCGGUGGUGCAAGUCAGCGGUCAACUUUCGGGGCUAAACCACGUACUGCCGUUGAAACUGCA
rnacentral:rRNA from 1 species